AUGCCUAGACCCAUUGUUCACAAUGAGACCACAGCCACCAACCUUGGAGGUUUUGUGACCGUGCUCACAAACCUCACCCGCCGUGCCUAUGCAUUAGAAGAGCCCCCAGAAUAUGUUGUGUAUCAAGGACCCAUGAGCGGUGAGAGCCGUCAAUUCUGGGCCACUGUACACAUCUAUGGUAAGGGUCUAUCGCCAGAACGCCCCUACAGGUUCACUGGAAGGACAACUUCCUUUGAGCCACAAGCCAUCCAACUGGCAGCUCGAGAGGCUAUAGUUCAACUCCGGCACUCGUCGCCCAGAGUUAACUGUCGCUCGUUCUACUACUACCCCAGUCGUGACGGGUAUGGUAGGCCGCCCCAGGUUGCCAACGGAGAUCACGAGACGGAUCCUGCACUAUUGCAUCUGCUGCGCUAUGUAAGUGCACUAGAGGAACUGUUCGAUCAAAUCACCCUUGAUCUGAUCGCAGCUCGUGGAGAACUGGUUCGCCUAGCCCCGGCGAGAGGAGAAGAUGAGCCCGACGCCGACAACCCAGUCGUGCUGUUCGGACACCCGAUCGAGUCCUUGAGGUCUGCCCCAGCCAUCGACCAAAAUACGUUGGUGUUCCCAGAAGUGCUUCGUCGCCUUUUGGGAACACGCUCCAACGGGAUUGUGACCAACAACCCCCGCGAUGGUCAUCAUCGCUACCCCGACCCUGCAGCCCCUCAACCUCAUCCAGCUAAUCCCGACGGUGAAACCCGUGGAGAAGCCUCGACAUCCACCAGACAAGUCUGCUUAGAUAUUAACGAAGUAGACUAUAUCGCUCGAGUAGUACCGAGCCUUAGUAUUCCUACGCCUUGUAAUUGUGUGAUCUUGUAUCACCAUUAUUAA
rnacentral:rRNA from 1 species